rnacentral:rRNA from 1 species
UACUAGAGUAGCACUCGCAUAUCAAUAAGCGGAGGAAAAGAAACUAACAAGGAUUCCCCUAGUAACGGCGAGUGAAGCGGGAAGAGCUCAAAUUUGAAAUCUUAAAGGGUUUCCCUUUACGAAUUGUAGUUUAAAGAAGUGUUUUCUGUUGAGGUUUUGGUAAAAGUUCUUUGGAAUAGGACAUCAUAGAGGGUGAGAAUCCCGUAUUUGACCUUUACUUUCAACUUUGUGAUACACUUUCAAAGAGUCGGAUUGUUUGGGAAUGCAGUCCAAAAUGGGUGGUAAAUUUCAUCUAAAGCUAAAUAUUGGCGAGAGACCGAUAGCGAACAAGUACCGUGAGGGAAAGAUGAAAAGAACUUUGAAAAGAGAGUUAAACAGUACGUGAAAUUGUCAAAAGGGAAGCGUUUGACACCAGUGUUGUUUUUCUGAAAAUCAAUUAAAGAACUGUUUAUGCUAAGCUUGUUUAGACUUUAUCAGCUAUCUGUUUAGUUUUAGAGCUUUUCUUUAAUGCACUUUUCAGUUAACAAGUCAACAUCAAUUUCUUUUGCUGUAAAAAAGCUUGAGGAAGGUGGCUUGAGAUUCGUCUUAAGUGUUUAUAGCCUCUUGCCUAUGCAGUCGGAGAGAUUGAGGUCUGCAGCGUAGAUCCUUCGGGGCUAAAUGCAUUUGUGCUAAGUUAUAGCAUUUUAUAGACAACUUGUUGACUAUGAUUUGUCUUGUAGCUUACUCGCUUAUGUUAUUUUACCUACGCUUAGGAUGUUGAGCGCAUGUCUCUCUCU